CAAGAACACUUUGGUAGAAAAGAGUGCUGAUGAAGAAGAGAGGGCAACACAAAAGAAGACCCAGAAGUAUCAUGGGCAAAUCAUGGACCAAGAACUGGAAUGAAUAUCUAGUGCACUACCCGAACUAAAGACUGCAGACGAGAAAGGGAAGACAGGGGUUUAACCAGCAAUUCAAAGUGAGGUGAUCAGCCUUCCGUUGACAGAGUUAACUGCGUGUGAAAGGUAAGGAGACCGUCCUACUGCCCCCUUUGCCUCAUUUACACAAAUAAGUUUAGUUCACUUCUUUACACUUAAAGGUCUACUUCACCAAGGGGCAUUUUGACUUUAAACUAGAUGAAGGGAUUUCUUAUUCCUGAUCUCUUUUUCUUGUGCUCUGCUUCUGCUGUUCUUUUGCUUCAGCUCAUUUUUUAGUCUGUUCUUUUAUUCCUUUGAAGGUUUCUUAGUAAAAGAGUGUUUGAAUUUUAGC
rnacentral:lncRNA from 1 species